GCUAACGCCGACUAGCGAUCCUCCAGUUGCCAACAUAGAGAGUCGUUGGCGCUCCUCACUCCUCACCCAUAAGGGUGUUUGUAUGUAUAGUGCUUUUUCCUCUCUUCUUCUCAAAGAUGAAUAUGUUUUUUUCUUUCCACCUUAGCUGUAGCCGCACCUUUAUUUUACCACUACAACCCUUUCUUCUGUUAGCUCGUUCUUUUUGUGUCUCAGCCGCGCCGUCUUCAUUGUGGACUGUCUCCUCCAUCGAGCUCUCUUGUGGCAACCCAUGGCAGCUCCAUUUAUCUCCUUUGGCCAUGAUGGCGAGAUUUCUGUCUCCUCUGCUAGCCUUGUCACCGUUCACCGAGUCUUCUCCUUGCCGGCUUUUAUCUCUCUCAUGUCAUGCUAUCUUGCCGUUGUUGUUCUCUUAC
rnacentral:lncRNA from 1 species